GCACAUGGCACAAUGGGUCAGUGCACCUGGCUGUUAAGCAGAAGGUUGGUAGUUCGAGCCCAACCAGGGACA